rnacentral:sRNA from 1 species
GCCAGGUAUAGUGGUGCACACCUGUAAUCCCAGUUACUCAGGAGGCUGAGGCAGGAGGAUCACAAGUUCAAGCCCAGCUGAGGGAACUUAGCGAGAUCCAGUCUCAA